UCGAGAAUUUUUCACAAUGGGCGAAAGCCUGAUGGAGCGACGCCGCGUGGGGGAUGAAUGGCUUCGGCCCGUAAACCCCUGUCAUUUGCGAUCAAACCUGCAGAUCUAAUACAUCUGCAGCUGAUAGUAGCGAAAGAGGAAGGGACGGCUAACUCUGUGCCAGCAGCCGCGGUAAUUCAGAGGUCCCAAGCGUUGUUCGGAUUCACUGGGCGUAAAGGGUGCGUAGGCGGUGGGGAAAGUUUGAUGUGAAAUCUUCGGGCCCAACCCGGAAACUGCACUAAAGACUGGCUCGUUCGAGGACUGGAGGGGAGACUGGAAUUCGCGGUGUAGCGGUGAAAUGCGUAGAUAUCGAGAGGAACACCCGUGGCGAAGGCGAGUCUCUGGACAGUUUCUGACGCUGAGGCACGAAAGC
rnacentral:rRNA from 1 species